rnacentral:misc_RNA from 1 species
GUGGGAGCAAAGCUUGCUCGCGAUGGCGGUGUGUCAGUCAAUGGGGCAUGGACUAUUGGACCGCUAUCGCGAGCAAGCUUUGCUCCCAC